rnacentral:lncRNA from 1 species
GUAAAUGAUUUCCAACUUUGACCAACAAAGAAGUAUGUUUUAGAACAUAAUUACUUAUAAGAAAAAUUUAAAGCUUAUGCAAACUCCACAGUCAAGUUGAAACCAGGACUGUCUUAACUCUCCCAAAAGAAGAUCACCACGGAAAACUGGAAGAAAUCCCAUAUUAAUUACCAUCAUCUAGGAUGUAGGUGGUUGGAACUCUUUAAUAUUUAUAUAUUAAUUGUAUAAAACACCACCACUCUUUGAAAUAAACUAGGGUAAUGGCUUGGCGUCUGUUUAUUUUCAUGUAAAAAAGAACGUUGGAUGAGAUUUUAAUUUCAAUGACAGGACACGACACGAUAUGACACUUCUUCACUUCAUGAUUAUGUAAUAAAUCUAUUUAUCUUGUGACUUGUCUUCUUGUGAUCAUCAUGUAAAUUCAGCAAAACAGAAAAGGAACUAUGCAAAAUGGAUUUACAAAGUUCAUAGAGUAACACACAUUGCCAUGACAUUACCAACAUCAUUUCGUAUUUUGUUGUAGAGAGCAUCCCGAAGACAGGCUUAACUGAUUAGAUUUAUCUGGUGGUGCAGGUUCGGGGAGUAUAUUUGAGACAUUGCGGCUCGAGAAACCCCUGAUUGUGGUAGUUAAUGAGGAUUUGAUGGAUAAUCAUCAAAGUGAGCUUGCAGAAGAACUGGCAGAGGGAAAUCAUUUGUUGUGUGCUCGUCCUCAAACGCUCUAUUGGACGAUAUAAAAAAUGGAUACUGAAUCUCUUAUAGCAUACCAACCAGGGGAUGCAACCCCAGUUGCUAAAUUCAUUAACAAGUUUUUAGGUUUUCCUGAUGAUUGAUGAUGAAUACCAAGAAAUUUAGAGGCUAUUGUUUAAGAUAGAAAAUACGAUUCUGCUACAAAAUUGCAGUAUAUAUUAUACCAUUAUCAAGC